rnacentral:rRNA from 1 species
UACAGAGGUCUCAAGCGUUGUUCGGAUUCAUUGGGCGUAAAGGGUGCGUAGGCGGCGCGGUAAGUCGGGUGUGAAAUCUUGGAGCUUAACUCCGAAACUGCAUUCGAUACUGCCGUGCUUGAGGACUGGAGAGGAGACUGGAAUUUACGGUGUAGCGGUGAAAUGCGCAGAUAUCGGGAGGAACACCAAUGGCGAAGGCAGCUCGCUGGGACGGUACUGACGCUGAGGCGCGAAAGCGUGGGGAGCAAACAGG